rnacentral:piRNA from 1 species
UCCUGCCCCUCAUUCCAAUUC